rnacentral:rRNA from 2 species
UGGAUCCAGACCUUUAUUCUGGCUCAGGAUGAACGCUAGCUACAGGCUUAACACAUGCAAGUCGAGGGGCAGCGGGAUUGAAGCUUGCUUCAAUUGCCGGCGACCGGCGCACGGGUGAGUAACGCGUAUCCAACCUUCCGUACACUCAGGGAUAGCCUUUCGAAAGAAAGAUUAAUACCUGAUGGUAUGAUGAGAUUGCAUGAUAGCAUCAUUAAAGAUUUAUCGGUGUACGAUGGGGAUGCGUUCCAUUAGGUAGUAGGCGGGGUAACGGCCCACCUAGCCAACGAUGGAUAGGGGUUCUGAGAGGAAGGUCCCCCACAUUGGAACUGAGACACGGUCCAAACUCCUACGGGAGGCAGCAGUGAGGAAUAUUGGUCAAUGGACGAGAGUCUGAACCAGCCAAGUAGCGUGAAGGAUGAAGGUCCUACGGAUUGUAAACUUCUUUUAUAAGGGAAUAAACCCUCCCACGUGUGGGAGCUUGUAUGUACCUUAUGAAUAAGCAUCGGCUAACUCCGUGCCAGCAGCCGCGGUAAUACGGAGGAUGCGAGCGUUAUCCGGAUUUAUUGGGUUUAAAGGGAGCGCAGACGGGUCGUUAAGUCAGCUGUGAAAGUUUGGGGCUCAACCUUAAAAUUGCAGUUGAUACUGGCGUCCUUGAGUGCGGUUGAGGUGUGCGGAAUUCGUGGUGUAGCGGUGAAAUGCUUAGAUAUCACGAAGAACUCCGAUUGCGAAGGCAGCACACUAAUCCGUAACUGACGUUCAUGCUCGAAAGUGUGGGUAUCAAACAGGAUUAGAUACCCUGGUAGUCCACACGGUAAACGAUGGAUACUCGCUGUUGGCGAUAUACUGUCAGCGGCUUAGCGAAAGCGUUAAGUAUCCCACCUGGGGAGUACGCCGGCAACGGUGCAACUCAAAUGAAUUGACGGA